GUACAUUUAGCAGUGGCUCCUCACACAAGCAUGUCUACAUUGCAAUCCAGAGAGAUCCAAGCUAUCUUUAAAUCAGCUAGCUGGAGUCUGGGAGAUGGUCUGGUUGUUGUUAGAGAGGGUAAUUUAGCCUGCCAAGGAACGGGAAAAGAAUCAUAAUAAGGCUUAGCAGGUGCAGGUUGGUGAAAAUGCAGGUGAAAAACAGCAGCAUUCCAGUCAUGUAAAAAUGAAGUGAGAGAGUGUUGGAACAGACUUUCUUUAUUUUUAACCAAGGGAAGCAGACACUGAAAUGUGUAUGGGAAAUGCAACAGAAUGUGCUACAGCCCAGGACUCUGCAGAAAGCCUGCUUUCACAUUUUGGAUAGACGGUUAAGUUCCCAAGGAAUGUGUAUUCCCAUGAAGAGCUUUUGGAAAAUGCAUGCAUGGCAAUUACUGCACUGGAGGAAUCUCUCUAAUGGAUGCCACUCUUACCAUGAAAAAGAGUUGUUCCCUGCUGCAGCUUACUUUCCAGUUCUGGAUGUGCUGAAACUCUCUUCCCUCCUCUGCAGUCUGUGUACCUAG
rnacentral:lncRNA from 1 species